rnacentral:rRNA from 1 species
CAAGAGGAGGGGUUAGACUUCGGGUCGAAGCUCUGAAUUGAAGCCCCAGUAAACGGCGGCCGUAACGAUAACGGUCCUAAGGUAGCGAAAUUCCUUGUCGGGUAAGUUCCGACCCGCACGAAAGGUGUAACGACUUGCGCACUGUCUCAACGAGGGACCCGGUGAAAUUGAAGUACCUGUGAAGAUGCAGGUUACCCGCGACUGGACAGAAAGACCCCAUGGAGCUUUACUGCAACCUAAGAUUGAACUUAGUUAAUGAAUGUACAGGAUAGGUGGGAGACGUAGAACCUAGGACGCCAGUUUUAGGGGAGUCACUGUUGGGAUACCACCCUUUCAUUAAUUGAUUUCUAACGGGCCGAGUAACGACCGGCCGGACAGUCUUAGGCGGGCAGUUUGACUGGGGCGGUCGCCUCCUAAAGAGUAACGGAGGCGCCCAAAGGUUCCCUCAGAGCGGACGGAAAUCGCUCGAAGAGUGUAAAGGCAGAAGGGAGCUUGACUGCGAGACGGAC